AAUAUUGGACAAUGGGCGAAAGCCUGAUCCAGCCAUGCCGCGUGUGUGAGGAAGGCCUUCGGAUUGUAAAGCACCUUAAGUUGGGAGGAAGUGCUGUAAGUUAAUACCUUGCUGCUUUGACGUUACCGACAGCAUAAGCCCCGGCUAACUUCGUGCCAGCAGCCGCGGUAAUAGCAAGGGUGCAAGCGUUAAUCGGAAUUACUGGGGGUAAAGCGGGCGUAGGUGGUUCAGUAAGAUGGGUGUGAAAUCCCCGGGCUUAACCUGGGAACUGCUUUCAUAACUGCUGAGCUAGAGCACGGUAGAGGGUGGUGGAAUUUCCUGUGUAGCGGUGAAAUGCGUAGAUAUAGGAAGGAACAUCAGUGGCGAAGGCGACCACCUGGGCUAAUACUGACACUGGGGUGCGAAAGCGUGGGGAGCAAAC
rnacentral:rRNA from 1 species